rnacentral:rRNA from 1 species
AUUGAACGCUGGCGGCAGGCCUAACACAUGCCAGUCGAGCGGAUGAAGGGAGCUUGCUCCUGGAUUCAGCGGCGGACGGGUGAGUAAUGCCUAGGAAUCUGCCUGGUAGUGGGGGAUAACGUCCGGAAACGGGCGCUAAUACCGCAUACGUCCUGAGGGAGAAAGUGGGGGAUCUUCGGACCUCACGCUAUCAGAUGAGCCUAGGUCGGAUUAGCUAGUUGGUGGGGUAAAGGCCUACCAAGGCGACGAUCCGUAACUGGUCUGAGAGGAUGAUCAGACACACUGGAACUGAGACACGGUCCAGACUCCUACGGGAGGCAGCAGUGGGGAAUAUUGGACAAUGGGCGCAAGCCUGAUCCAGCCAUGCCGCGUGUGUGAAGAAGGCCUUCGGAUUGUAAAGCACUUUAAGUUGGGAGGAAGGGCAGUAAGUUAAUACCUUGCUGUUUUGACGUUACCAACAGAAUAAGCACCGGCUAACUUCGUG